rnacentral:rRNA from 1 species
UGCAAGUCGAACGGCAGCACGGGAGCAAUCCUGGUGGCGAGUGGCGAACGGGUGAGUAAUAUAUCGGAACGUGCCCAGUCGUGGGGGAUAACGCAGCGAAAGCUGUGCUAAUACCGCAUACGAUCUCUGGAUGAAAGCGGGGGACUCGCAAGGGCCUCGCGCGAUUGGAGCGGCCGAUAUCAGAUUAGCUAGUUGGUGGGGUAAAAGCCCACCAAGGCGACGAUCUGUAGCUGGUCUGAGAGGACGACCAGCCACACUGGAACUGAGACACGGUCCAGACUCCUACGGGAGGCAGCAGUGGGGAAUUUUGGACAAUGGGCGAAAGCCUGAUCCAGCAAUGCCGCGUGCAGGAUGAAGGCCUUCGGGUUGUAAACUGCUUUUGUACGGAACGAAACGGCCGCCUCUAAUACGGGUGGCUAAUGACGGUACCGUAAGAAUAAGCACCGGCUAACUACGUGCCAGCAGCCGCGGUAAUACGUAGGGUGCGAGCGUUAAUCGGAAUUACUGGGCGUAAAGCGUGCGCAGGCGGUUAUAUAAGACAGAUGUGAAAUCCCCGGGCUCAACCUGGGACCUGCAUAUGUGACUGUAUAGCUAGAGUACGGUAGAGGGGGAUGGAAUUCCGCGUGUAGCAGUGAAAUGCGUAGAUAUGCGGAGGAACACCGAUGGCGAAGGCAAUCCCCUGGACCUGUACUGACGCUCAUGCACGAAAGCGUGGGGAGCAAACAGGAUUAGAUACCCUGGUAGUCCACGCCCUAAACGAUGUCAACUGGUUGUUGGGUCUUCACUGACUCAGUAACGAAGCUAACGCGUGAAGUUGACCGCCUGGGGAGUACGGCCGCAAGGUGAACUCAAGGAUUGACGGGACCCGCACAGCGGUGGAUGAUGUGGUUUAAUUCGAUGCAACGCGAAAACC